UUCUUAAUGCAAAGCACAUGAAACAGAGCAAACCCAAUGAGAUAACCACAAAAGACUUUGCGUAUAACUCAAAAGCGUCUACUCUUCAUCUUCUUUCUUUGAUAUUCAUUGACAUGACAAGCAGCAGCCACCUAAAGUGGAUUUACCUUUUUGAUGAUGCAUUUUCUUUAUUGAGCUUAGUAGAACGUUAUGUUGAAGACAAAUGUUGCAGCUGCAUGCUGAGGCUGCCGGACCCAAAAAUUUUACGUGACGGUACAUAUUAUUCUGCUCAAAUAGUACCCUCUAUAGACUUAGUAUUUAGGGUACCAAUUGGUUUAAAAUAUAGGAUUUCAUCCGAGGUUUACGGGGUCCAUUGACCCCUCGCCCAUACACAUGGGUCCGCCGCAGGCUGCAGAAGUGAAUUACCAAUAAACUUAUGGCUCUCAAUUUUAUGUCUCUUUCAAGGUAUACUGCAGAUAUCCUAGGAUAUAUUAAAGUUUUAAACACUAAGUGGAAUUAUUUCAGAACAGAUGAGAGAAACAGUCAUCCUUAUCUAUAUUAUGAUAUGCAAUCAACUUACUAAAUCAAGGUUAAGAGAUUGCCACAUGAAUUCAACUUCAUAGACCUACCAAAUGGCACUUCUGAUCAGCAAAAGAAGGGUAAGAUAAAAAAAUGAAUAUUGGAUAGUAUGCACACAAUUCGUACACUCUGCAAACCUACAAGUGUGGGAUCAAACUAAGCAGUACCAAAGGCUCUUGACACAAGAAGGCUGAAGAUCUUUCAUUGGAGUGGUGAAAACAAGUGGAACGCACUUAUAUAGAUCUUUAUAAAUGAAUUAGGAAUGAAUUUGUUCGUAUUUUAUUAGCUGUUUAAUUGUCUUUCUUAUACGAUUUUAGGAUAUCUUUAGCUCAAGAGCUAAUUUUUGGAUUGAAUUGCGUUUAAGUUCUAUUUUCUUCACAUGGUAUUAAAUUUAUACCAAUUCUUGGUUUCUCGAAUAUUAGGUUCCAUGGCGUGUUGUAUUGUUCACUGCUCUAAAUAUUCAAUCAUUCAGGGGA
rnacentral:lncRNA from 1 species